UACGUAGGGGGCAAGCGUUGUCCGGAUUUAUUGGGCGUAAAGAGCGUGUAGGCGGCUUGGUAGGUCCGCUGUGAAAACUCGAGGCUCAACCUCGAGAUGUCGGCGGAAACCACUUGGCUAGAGUCCGGAAGAGGAGAGUGGAAUUCCUGGUGUAGCGGUGAAAUGCGCAGAUAUCAGGAGGAACACCCAUAGCGAAGGCAGCUUGCUGGGACGUUACUGACGCUAAGGCGCGAAAGCGUGGGGAGCGAACAGG
rnacentral:rRNA from 1 species